AACGAACGCUGGCGGCAUGCCUAACACAUGCAAGUCGAACGAGACCUUCGGGUCUAGUGGCGCACGGGUGCGUAACGCGUGGAAUCUGCCCUGGGGUACGGGAAUAACAGUGAGAAUUACUGCUAAUACCGUAUGAUGACGUAAGUCCAAAGAUUUAUCGCCCUGGGAUGAGCCCGCGUAGGAUUAGCUUGUUGGUGAGGUAAAAGCUCACCAAGGCGACGAUCCUUAGCUGGUCUGAGAGGAUGAUCAGCCACACUGGGACUGAGACACGGCCCAGACUCCUACGGGAGGCAGCAGUGGGGAAUAUUGGACAAUGGGCGAAAGCCUGAUCCAGCAAUGCCGCGUGAGUGAUGAAGGCCUUAGGUGUAAAGACUCUUUACCCGGGUAAGAUAAUGACUGUA
rnacentral:rRNA from 1 species